rnacentral:rRNA from 1 species
GUAGUCCACGCCGUAAACGAUGGUCACUAGGUGUGGGGGUAUCGACCCGGUCAGUAACGAAGCUAACGCGUUAAGUAUCCCGCCUGGGGAGUACGGUCGCAAGAUUAAAACUCAAAGGAAUUGACGGGGACCCGCACAAGCGGUGGAGCGUGUUGUUUAAUUCGAGGCUAAGCGAAGAACCUUACCAGGGCUUGACAUCCUAGGAAUUACUACGAAAGUAGUGAGUGCCUUCGGGAAUCUAGUGACAGGUGUUGCAUGGCCGUCGUCAGCUCGUGUCGUGAGAUGUUUGGUUAAG